UACGGGGGGGGCAAGCGUUGUUCGGAAUUACUGGGCGUAAAGGGCUCGUAGGCGGCCAACUAAGUCCGACGUGAAAUCCCCCGGCUUAACCUGGGAACUGCGUCUGAUACUGGAAGGCUUGAGUAUGGGAGAGGGAUGUAGAAUUCCAGGUGUAGCGGUGAAAUGCGUAGAUAUCUGGAGGAAUACCGGUGGCGAAGGCGGCAUCCUGGACCAUUACUGACGCUGAGGCGCGAAAGCUAGGGGAGCAAACGGG
rnacentral:rRNA from 1 species